AUUGAACGCUGGCGGCAGGCCUAACACAUGCAAGUCGAGCGGAUGAAGGGAGCUUGCUCCUGGAUUCAGCGGCGGACGGGUGAGUAAUGCCUAGGAAUCUGCCUGGUAGUGGGGGAUAACGUCCGGAAACGGGCGCUAAUACCGCGUACGUCCUGAGGGAGAAAGUGUGGGAUCUUCGGACCUCACGCUAUCAGAUGAGCCUAGGUCGGAUUAGCUAGUUGGUGGGGUAAAGGCCUACCAAGGCGACGAUCCGUAACUGGUCUGAGAGGAUGAUCAGUCACACUGGAACUGAGACACGGUCCAGACUCCUACGGGAGGCAGCAGUGGGGAAUAUUGGACAAUGGGCGAAAGCCUGAUCCAGCCAUGCCGCGUGUGUGAAGAAGGUCUUCGGAUUGUAAAGCACUUUAAGUUGGGAGGAAGGGCAGUAAGUUAAUACCUUGCUGUUUUGACGUUACCAACAGAAUAAGCACCGGCUAACUUCGUG
rnacentral:rRNA from 1 species